GGGAGUACGACCGCAAGGUUGAAACUCAAAGGAAUUGACGGGGGCCCGCACAAGCGGUGGAGUAUGUGGUUUAAUUCGACGCAACGCGAAGAACCUUACCAGGUCUUGACAUUGAUGGACAGAACCAGAGAUGGUUCCUCUUCUUCGGAAGCCAGAAAACAGGUGGUGCACGGUUGUCGUCAGCUCGUGUCGUGAGAUGUUGGGUUAAGUCCCGCAACGAGCGCAACCCCUGUUGCCAGUUGCCAGCAUUAAGUUGGGGACUCUGGCGAGACUGCCGGUGACAAGCCGGAGGAAGGCGGGGAUGACGUCAAAUCAUCAUGCCCCUUAUGACCUGGGCUACACACGUACUACAAUGGGAGUUAAUAGACGGAAGCGAGAUCGCGAGAUGGAGCAAACCCGAGAAACACUCUCUCAGUUCGGAUCGUAGGCUGCAACUCGCCUACGUGAAGUCGGAAUCGCUAGUAAUCGCAGGUCAGCAUACUGCGGUGAAUACGUUCCCGGGCCUUGUACACACCGCCCGUCACACCACGAAAGUCGGAAGUGCCCAAAGCCGGUGGGGUAACCUUCGGGAGCCAGCCGUCUAAGGUAAAGUCGAUGAUUGGGGUGAAGUCGUAACAAGGUAGCCGUAUCGGAAGGUGCGGCUG
rnacentral:rRNA from 1 species